rnacentral:rRNA from 1 species
UACGGGGGGAGCAAGCGUUGUUCGGAUUUACUGGGCGUAAAGGGCGCGUAGGCGGUCGUGACAAGUCACUUGUGAAAUCUCCGGGCUUAACUCGGAACGGUCAAGUGAUACUGUCGGACUAGAGUACAGAAGGGGCAACUGGAAUUCUCGGUGUAGCGGUGAAAUGCGCAGAUAUCAGGAGGAACACCGGUGGCGAAGGCGGUUCUCUGGGCCUGUACUGACGCUGAGGAACGAAAGCGUGGGGAGCGAACAGG